rnacentral:misc_RNA from 1 species
UUGAAUCAACGGUCUUGGAGUCCUCUUUGGAGUUGAUUCCUCGACCUUACCUACCCCUGUGCACUGUAAAUGUUUUUUGGGACGGUGCAGCAAUGCCUGUCCCAGCAGUACAAACUACAUGUAAUUUGUUCUGAACUGAACCAAAGAAUCGUAA